rnacentral:tRNA from 1 species
GGUCCCGCAGCUCAGUUGGCUAGAGCGCCGACUCAUAUCGGAUGGUCCUGGGUUCGAGUCCCAGCGGGACCA